GUUUAAGUAGUGAGAAGAAACACACUAUCUUUUCGAGAUAGAGAUGUAUUGUAUAUUUACAAUACCUUAAAUA
rnacentral:tRNA from 1 species